rnacentral:rRNA from 1 species
ACUCCGGUUGAUCCUGCCGGACCCGACUGCUAUCGGAUUGAGAUUUAGCCAUGCGAGUCGAACGCCCCCCUGUUGCGGGGGGCGUGGCGUACGGCUCAGUAACACGUAGUCAACCUGCCCUGGAGACAAGGACAACCCCGGGAAACUGGGAUUAAUCCUCGAUAGGUCAUCUCAUCUGGAAGGAGAGAUGGCUUAAAGGGGUACGAGGGCUUCUUCCACGUAUUCGCUCCAGGAUGGGACUGCGACCGAUCAGGCUGUUGGCGGGGUAAUGGCCCACCAAACCUGUAACCGGUACGGGCCUUGAGAGAGGUGGCCCGGAGAUGGACACUGAGAGAAGGGUCCAGGUCCUACGGGGCGCAGCAGGCGCGAAACCUUCGCAAUGCGCGAAAGCGUGACGAGGUUAAUCCGAGUGACUCCCGCUGAGGGGGUCUUUUGUCAGCUGUAAAUAGGCA